UUCCUUGGCGUUGGCCGAGUUACACAUUCACGUGGGGGUUCGACGUGAAGUGAGCUCUAAUACUACCCCAGGAGUUACCUUCCUCGCCUCUACAACCAGAGUAACUAUAUAACUGGGUUUACCGUGCCCCUAUAAUAGGCAGUCCACGGAAACCCGUCACUACAGUGACUAACCCACCAAUUUUAAUAAAAUUUCGACAGUAUAACGUGGCUUUUAUUUAUUUAUCCAGCCUGCAUAGUAAAACAACUUACAUAAAUUUCC
rnacentral:lncRNA from 1 species